CAAUAGCGUAUAUUAAAGCUGUUGCGGUUAAAAAGCUCGUAGUUGGAUUUCUGUCAAGGACAACUGGUCCACCCUCCGGGUGAGCACAUAGUUUGGUCUUGACAUCUUGCUGGAAGCUGUUGCUGCACUUGGCUGUGUGGCGCAGUGUUCAGCACUUUCACUUUGAGGAAAUUGGAGUGUUUCAAGCAGGCACAUGCCUUUGGACACAGUAGCAUGGAAUAAUUAGAUUGGGCUUUUGCUCCAAUUUGUCGGUUUCUGGAGCUGAGGUGAGUAUUAAUGGGGAUUGUUGGGGGCAUCCGAAUUUAGCCGUCAGAGGUGAAAUUCUUGGAUCUGCUAAAGACGGACAACUGCGAAAGCGUUUGCCCAGGAUGUUUUCAUUGA
rnacentral:rRNA from 1 species